UACGGAGGGUGCGAGCGUUGUCCGGAAUCCCUGGGCGUAAAGGGCGCGUAGGCGGCGCGGGCAGUCAACGGUGAAAGCUUGGGGCUCAACCCCGAGUCGGCCGUCGAUACUCCCGGGCUGGAGCACUGUAGAGGCAGGUGGAAUUCCGGGUGUAGCGGUGGAAUGCGUAGAGAUCCGGAAGAACACCGGUGGCGAAGGCGGCCUGCUGGGCAGUAGCUGACGCUGAGGCGCGACAGCGUGGGGAGCAAGCAGG
rnacentral:rRNA from 1 species